GAUGAACGCUAGCGGGAGGCCUAACACAUGCAAGCCGAGCGGUAUUGUUUCUUCGGAAAUGAGAGAGCGGCGUACGGGUGCGUAACACGUGUGCAACCUGCCUUUAUCUGGGGGAUAGCCUUUCGAAAGUAAGAUUAAUACUCCAUAAUAUAUUGAACGGCAUCGUUUAAUAUUUAAAGCUCCGGCGGAUAGAGAUGGGCACGCGCAAGAUUAGCUAGUUGGUGAGGUAACGGCUCACCAAGGCGAUGAUCUUUAGGGGGCCUGAGAGGGUGAUCCCCCACACUGGUACUGAGACACGGACCAGACUCCUACGGGAGGCAGCAGUGAGGAAUAUUGGUCAAUGGGUGCAAGCCUGAACCAGCCAUCCCGCGUGAAGGACGACUGCCCUAUGGGUUGUAAACUUCUUUUGUAUAGGGAUAAACCUACCCUCGAGAGGGUAGCUGAAGGUACUAUACGAAUAAGCACCGGCUAACUCCGUG
rnacentral:rRNA from 1 species